rnacentral:rRNA from 1 species
UGGGGAAUUUUGGACAAUGGGGGCAACCCUGAUCCAGCCAUGCCGCGUGAGUGAAGAAGGCCUUCGGGUUGUAAAGCUCUUUCGGCCGGAACGAAAUCGCAUCUCCUAACACGGGGUGUGGAUGACGGUACCGGAAGAAGAAGCACCGGCUAACUACGUGCCAGCAGCCGCGGUAAUACGUAGGGUGCGAGCGUUAAUCGGAAUUACUGGGCGUAAAGCGUGCGCAGGCGGUUCGUUAAGACAGGUGUGAAAUCCCCGGGCUCAACCUGGGAAUGGCGCUUGUGACUGGCGGGCUGGAGUACGGCAGAGGGAGUGGAAUUCCACGUGUAGCAGUGAAAUGCGUAGAGAUGUGGAGGAACACCGAUGGCGAAGGCAGCCUCCUGGGCCAGUACUGACGCUCAUGCACGAAAGCGUGGGGAGCAAACAGGAUUAGAUACCCUGGUAGUCCACGCCCUAAACGAUGCGAACUAGUCGUUGGAGGAGCAAUCCUUUAGUGACGC